rnacentral:rRNA from 1 species
AUGCGGAGGAUCCGAGCGUUAUCCGGAUUUAUUGGGUUUAAAGGGUGCGCAGGCGGCCAUUUAAGUCAGCGGUUAAAUCGUGGGGCUCCACCCCAUUCUGCCGUUGAUACUGGGUGGCUUGAUUGCGGUCGAGGUUGGCGGAAUUCGUUGUGUAGCGGUGAAAUGCAUAGAUAUGACGAAGAACACCGAUUGCGUAGGCAGCUGACCAGACCGCAAAUGACGCUCAUGCACGAAAGUGCGGGGAUCGAGCAGGAUUAGAUACCCUGGUAGUCCGCACAGUAAACGAUGAAUACUUGUUUUCGGCGAUAUAAUGUCGGAGGCAAAGCGAAAGCGAUAAGUAUUCCACCUGGGGAGUACGCCGGCAACGGUGAAACUCAAAUGAAUUGGCGGGG